rnacentral:sRNA from 2 species
GAAAUCUCCCUCUACCGAAGUUCAAUUGAAUGUCCCAGUUGCAGGUUCAAUCGUGUCCCUCACAGCCCAGUUGAAGCUUUCUGAUUAGAGCUUCCAGCCAUGCCUUCAAAUCAUCCGAUUCAAGUCCGCGCAACCCGGCCAUUGUACCGAUUCGCCGCGACCGCUCUUGGAGCCAGCAUGUGGUUUUUCUUGAUGUAUCGCGCUAAGAAAGACGGUCCUGUUCUACUCGGUUGGAAACACCCUUGGGAACAUUGAAUUGAUGUUUUUUACGAUGACUCAGAGCAGAGAAAUGGAAAGGAGUAUUCCUAGAAAGAUAGAGCUCCACUAGGAAUGGAAUUAUACAGUCGUGUACAGCCCGACGCAUCGUCAGUGUCAUAGUAGUUCGAGGCAACGAGCAACUGCAAAUUCUCGAUAAGCAGAUGGAUGCUAUGGAUUGCAUGCAUUAGAGGAUAUAAUGGGUAUCAUAUUCUUUCUUUUCCUAUGGUCGCUUUCAAUAAGGCAUAAAAUCAAGCUAUAUGCUUUUGCAAAAUUCCUCAAACCCGUAUAUCUAUCCCAUUUUCUACCUCUUCUAAAUUCGAGUGGUGACAUCUGCGACAAUAUAUAAUCCUGAAAGAGGGAAGUUUAUACAAUAAGUCUAUGAUUCUUCAAGCAGACUCUUAUACCGACGCCGCUGUUUUGCUUGAUCUGGACGAAGCCAGCAAUGAAUGCGACCAACAAGACGAGCCAAUCUGGGGAAAACCAAUCGUUCCCCAAGCCAUGCGAUUGAAAAGUUAACAAGUGCUAGCCCCAUAAUCCAAAACUUGAACCAAGUAGACAUUUCGGUAAGUUGCAUGAAAUUGAAUAACCAUUUCGCUGGUUCAAAUAGCAUGUAUGAGGAGAACAUAGAUGUAACUAUGAUGGUGACGACAAAGGGUACUGCAUUUAUUCCCUCAUCAGCUUCCAGUGAACAAAAAAGAGGAUGAGACAAGAAAAUGGGAUAUAGUGAACUAGAGUAAAGGGGUUGGAGGAUAAUUCACGAACCGUUCGAAGUCAUUGGUUGCCGGAAGGGGCGCCCUACGCUGAUUACAGGGCCAGAAAAUAUAUAUUCGAAACAGGACAAAAGGAAAAGUGCCGUGUUUUGGGAAUUUUUCACGUUUGUGUCGUUGAAUUUCUUUUUCGGUGGAAUAUACCAGUCCUGGAACUGAACAGUCUCAAAAACAACGAACUGCAUUAUGAUACAAAUACCGAUUUGACCGAGAAGCGGAACUAGAACUUUGAGGGAAACUAGAUUUGAGGUCGGAGCCUUGCGGCAAAGAAUAGAGCUUGGUCCAAUCCAACCCAUAAAUAUUGCAAUGGGCAGGAUCAAGAGAAGGUCGAUAAAUAAAUACUAUUCGCGGAUCAGCAGUCUCCAAUUGGGUUUGGUACCUGACUGGGCUUACCUGGAAGUCUCCUAGAUUGGAUGCUGAAGUAUAUAGAAAGCUCACAGAAGUGAACUGGAUGGCGGAAUAUAAACUCAUAAAUUUAAAGCAACAGAAGCUUGUGACUAAGGCCGCUCUUCCUUCCCUGAUCACUUGUGGUACGCAUGAUAUAUCAAACACUCGACUGGUAAACGGGGCCGCCACUGACGCCUCUGCCUCAGAGAGAGAAAUUCCAACAUCUGCGGCCUUCAGCGCUCCGCAGUCAUUCGCUCCAUCACCACAAAAUCCGCAACAAUAAUCUAGAGACUGGAGUUUUUCGACCAGUUCAUGUUUUUCGUCAGGAGACAUGCGGGCAAACACUUGACCGCGAACAAGCAUCUUAUUUAGGACUUCCGUAGAGCCGUAAUCAACAAUCCAUCGAAAUAUAUCCCCAGUUACAGCUAUAGAGUAGUUAGGAUUGCGAUACGGCACUGACAGAUCGGUGCCACCUCGAGUAGGAAUAGGCGUCAGUGUGUUUUCAUCGAGAAGACAGUCAGAGUUUUCUGUAUUCUCCCAGCUCAGACGCGCAUUGGGGUCGAACAUAUUUCCUUCAACAAACCGGGGUACAAAGCAUGGACUCGACGCGUCUAUAAUGCCGCAUUCUCGGGCGACACUGACACCUGUCAGGAUAUUAUCUCCAGUACACAUGAUGUUUCGAAUGUGAGCUUGGUUUAGUUCAGUGAUGACACCUUUGGAACUAGGUUUGAGCUUGUUUUCGAAGACAAUGAAGCCAAUGAAUUCGAGAUCAGAUUCGGCUUCCAGACGAUGUAGUUUCUGUACCUUUAUCCAACUGAGCUUCUGGAAAUGUUUUGCUGCACAGGCAAUAACACGGAAACCUCGAUGGGUGUAGAAGCUAAGCAGAUCUUCAAAAUCGGGAGGUAAACUUUCGGGAAGACAUAUGUCUUUCAUGCAUUCAGGGGCCCCUUUUACGAAUACGAAGGCACCUGGGUCGCCAAACUGUCGAGCUAUAACGCUUGACCGACGAAGUUGGGACACGAAUUCAAAUGACCUGAGGACACCGAGCUCGAAUGGUUUGCC